UUUUCGACGGUUGGAUAGAGGCCAACCGUGAGGUCAACGGGUAACGGGGAAUUAGGGUUCGAUUCCGGAGAAGGAGCCUGAGAAACGGCUACUACAUCCAAGGAAGGCAGCAGGCGCGCAAAUUACCCAAUCCCGACUCGGGGAGGUAGUGACAAUAAAUACUGAUACAGGGCUCUUUCGGGUCUUGUAAUUGGAAUGAGUACAAUUCAAAUCCCUUAACGAGGAACAAUUGGAGGGCAAGUCUGGUGCCAGCAGCCGCGGUAAUUCCAGCUCCAAUAGCGUAUAUUAAAGUUGUUGCAGUUAAAAAGCUCGUAGUUGAACCUUGGGCCAGGCUGGCCGGUCCGCCUAACCGCGUGCACUGGUCUGGCCGGGCCCUUUCCUCUGGGGAGCCGCAUGCCCUUUGCUGGGCGUGUCGGGGAACCAGGACUUUUACUUUGAAAAAAUUAGAGUGUUCAAAGCAGGCCUUCGCUCGCAUACAUUAGCAUGGAAUAAUAGAAUAGGACGUGCGGUCCUAUUUUGUUGGUUUCUAGCGCCGCCGUAAUGAUUGAUAGGGACAGUCGGGGGCAUCCGUAUUCAGCCGCGAGAGGUGAAAUUCUUAGACCGGCUGAAGACGAACUACUGCGAAAGCAUUUGCCAAGGAUGUUUUCAUUAAUCAGUGAACGAAAGUUGGGGGAUCGAAGACGAUCAGAUACCGUCGUAGUCUCAACCGUAAACUAUGCCGACUAGGGAUCGGGCGGAGCACCUACAUUGGCCCGCCCGGCACC
rnacentral:rRNA from 1 species